GCCGGAGUGGCGGAAUGGUAGACGCAAGGGACUUAAAAUCCCUCGGGGAUUUGUCUCCCCGUGCCGGUUCGAGUCCGGCCUCCGGUA
rnacentral:tRNA from 1 species